AUGUCAUGUUAAGUUCAGUAGUUCAAAGCUGUGUAUUUUGUUUGAGGCUUCUCGUAAUUGAACAGCCGGCUCAUGAACUGCAGCUUCAUUCAAGGGGGGCUGAAACAUUCCAUCCGUGUAAAAAGACAUCCGUUUAAAAGUGGCAAAAAAUAAUCUUGUUCAACGUAUGAACCCUAAUGGUCACUUGCUCCCUCCUAUGCCAGCAGCAGAACAUCUCUGCAGACACAGGGAGCCCUACAGCAUUGCCGUUCAUUCCUGUCCAUGGCUUGGUCCUCCAUUACACCCAGCUUGGUCAUAUGAUGUCCCAUGAGCUGGUCAGUGGUCAGCCUCCAGAUUCUGUUCACGCAAAACUUUAUGCAUGAAAGGACAGGAGGAAUCAAGAUAAGGGAAAAUGUCAGAAGAAUAUUAUCUCUUUCUACAUAUACUUGUACUUUCUGACUGCCAAUAAGAAUCCCUAUUAUACCUUGCUUUUGUCUACCUUGUUAUGCCUAACAUUCCAAUGCAACAAGAAUGGGGAUGAAGGAUAGCUUUGCUUGAUGCCUUUUCAAAAUUACAAAGUCUUCAAAGUCAAUCCGUUCAGACCGAUAUAGGUAGACAAUACCCAGCAUUCAGUGAACGUGAUGAAUAUUACACUGAAUGCAAAAAUGUAUACAGGGCAACAAAGGAAAAUGUGAUGUUUCACACUGAAGCUUUCACAUGUCUUCAGUGCUUUGUGUGACUUUCUGCCUUCAUUGCUGAAUAUACAUACUUUUUCAAAAUCUAUUGAAAGAGCUGCCAAAAAGGUAAUUCACAUUUUUAUGGGAGGAGGGAACAAAACAUUUAAUUAUAGUGUUAAAUAUAGCAAGAGUUCCCCUCCACUCUUCCCAGAAAUGCCCUUUUCUUUCAACAAAUGAUAUUUGGAGAUUGUGUGUUUUGAUUGAAACUGCCAGAUUUCGCUUUGUUAAAGUCAGAAUUGAUAAUUGGGGUUGCUAGCCACACAAAAGCAGAAAGAGAGAGAAAUAUGUUGCCAGAUCCUCAGCUGGUGUAAAUUGAUAUAGCUCCAUUGACGUGAAAGGAGCUGUGCCAGUUCAUACCAGGCAAGGACCUAUUGAAUUUUACAAGAAUGCUGUCCUUAAUUAUUUUUUAAAAUGCAGGGCCAGAGGUUUAAUCGCAUCUAUAAUUUCGCUCAUCAACCUAUCUAUAUCCAAUCAUGCUAACGUUUUGCUCACCUUCAACUUUUUUAAAAAACAUUUCUUCCUGGUUCUAAACAACAUAAAUUUGGUUUCCUCAUCAAGAAGCUCAUUUAGCUGCAGCUUGAUUGCAAGUAAUUUGCCCUAACUGUCUCCGUGUUUUAAUUGUUUGUGCCUUUUUCUAAUCUAUAAACUGUAACUUCAGGCAGGCCAUUUUUUGUCUUACCAUUUCCUCUUUGGAAAGGCAUAUCUAAUAACCCACCUCAUAUCCUGUGGCUUUAGGCAUCUGAAAUCAUAUGAACAGAAGGAAUAGACUCUCCAUUCAACUCCUCAUUCAUUUAAAAAAACAAAACCCUCCAUAAAAUCUCUUUCCUUUGAAAAAGGAAAAUUAAAACUUCAUCCAGGAAAUUUAGUUUCAUUUUUGUUGGGAAUAAUUAUGCAUCACCACCAAUACAGAACUGACUUGCCACUCAGGUUCCACAAUGUUUUCCUGUGAUUUCUGAAAUGUGAAAAUCAAAAUACCAAUUUGGGCACAGCUAAAAUAUUUAAAUUAGCCAGAGUCCAGUGAAUUUUAUUCCCACAACUCCGAAUUGGCACCAUUUACUCUACUGGAGACAGAAUUCACGAGCUCAUUAGAAUCUCUGGACUUACUCAAGUAAAGCUAUGCAUUGAGGUAGCCUUUUUAAAGUAAUCUCAUUAGGAGCUCUACCAACUAUGGUAUCCAUGCCAAAUCUCUUUAAUUCCUUCAGCCUAAUUCCUUUUACCCCCAAAGUAUAUCACAACAUAUUACCCAGAUUAGCAAUACAUUCAGGAGUAAUGCUCCCCCAAACAUGAGAGUUCUAUUUUUUUUUCUGAUCUCCAAACUUUUGUUUGUGUUAAUUAUUCUAAAGCUAGCUGACAGAGUGAACAAUACUCUUUCCCCCUCUUUUGUGAAUAGCAAUGUAGGUAUUUGCGUAACUAUUUUUUCUGUCACAAAAUAAGGCGUUUCCUUUGCAUUUUUCUGAUCAAACCCCUACUCCUGCUCUCAGAGAAGUCAAUGGCAAAGCUCCCAAAUGAAUGUUCUCAGCUUGGUCUUCUUUUAGGGCAUCUGAACAGAGUGUACAACACACACAGGAAUUAGGCAGCCUUGGGAUAGUGAAAGAAGGCCAAUAAAAAUAAUAUUUCUAAGUUUUGAAAGAUAAAACUCCCAGGACAGGCAUUUUAUCAUGUGAUCUCAAGCCUCUGGUUAAGUAUUGUAUUUUGUCUGAUGGGUGCUGGGGAUUCUAUCUAGCAGAGAGCUUUCAUAAAAAGGAAUGAGAAGUAUUUUGUGAGUUGAUAAUAAACAUUUG